CAUAAAAAUCGGCCAUUCUUUUCUCAAGGCAGGAAGCAGAAAAUAAUGCACACAAUUUUUUCAAAACACAACGUUCCGAUUUCACGAAAAUUGGAUCUUCAAUUCGAUUCAUAAAACUUUUUACCACUGCAUGCUAAAAAUAUAUCCAUGACCACCGCAUGCUUCUCUACAAUCUUGAAUAGCAUCACGAACUAACCACGAGGAAAAUGGUUUUCCCGCUGAUGAGAGUGCAUGUAAUUCCAUUCCCUCGGCAACAACAGUUUUUGGAUCUUUUGAUUUUUUUUCUUCAACUUUUUUGAAAAGAUCAUAACUAAAUACAGUGAGUGCAUAUAGUGACGCUAAAUGUGGAAACAAUCGUCCUUGCUAUUUACCUAAUACACCGGACCAACAUUUGGCGGCUUGAAAAUUUGGUGUGUGAAGAAUAAAAUUUUCUGUUUCAACAUCAUAAGUUGCUGUAGUUUGAAGACCCUUCAAAUUUGUUCCAUGUGAUAUUUCCGUGAAACUUAAACAUCCACGAAACUGAAAAAUUUCAUUUAAUUACAAACAAAAUAUACUUCGCCGUCAGACAUUCCAAGCGGAGAAUUGAGAAUAAAAUCCGGAGGUGCAAGAACAUCGACUAAAGACACAGCUUCAUGGACCAAAGAUUUGCUAAUUUUUAUUAUUCCCUCACGAAGAAAAGUUUCCAAUU